CACGAAUUUUUGUAAGAAGACUGUCUACCAAUGGAAUUCCUGGCCUGGAGAGGAUAUUGCUGUCAAAGGAAUGGAUUCAUUUUUUUAUUAAAAGAGAUGAACUUAUGAAUUCAACAGGUGAAGAUUUACAACUUGAUAAAUCAGCUUCAUGAGCUCCAACUGUAAGCUCAAAGGUCCGGGGAUGAUCCC